CUGAAGAGAGGGGUUUUGCCAGUCAGUCUCCUGGCUGGAGUCCAGCUCUAAGCUGGUUCCAGGCUCUAGCCAGGACCUGACUACAACCUACUUAGC
rnacentral:pre_miRNA from 7 species